GCACUGCAAACUCAUCCUGUCCCUGCAACAUGGUGCAGAAGGAGAGAUCACAUUGUGCUAAAAAAAAAAUUCAAAGGAAAUCCAGACAGAACAUGUUCCACCUUGUGUUUUGUCUCUACAACUUUGACACAUGU